AAUUAGAAUGUGUGUAAUGGAUGUAGUGUUUGUGUGUAUUAGAUACGGUUUGUGCAGUGAAUGCAGAGUGUGGGUUUGUGUAGCGGAUGCAGUAUGUUUAGUGAACACAGAGUGUGUUUGAGUAGUGGAUGUAGUGUGUGUACAGUGAUGUAGUGUUUGUAUUAGACGCAGUGUCUCUGUAUAGUGAACGCAGAGUGUUUGAAUGUGUGGUGGAUGUGGUAUGUGUACUGUGAAUACAGGAUGUUUGUGUAGUGGAUGUUGUGUGUAAAGUUAAUGUAAAGUGUAUGUUAUUGUAGUGAAUGCUGAGUGUGUGUCAGUGUAGUGAAUGCAGACUGUGUGGUAGUGUAGUGAAUGCAGAGUGUGUGUCAGUGUGGUGAAUGCAGUGUGUUAGUGUAGUGAAUGCAGUGUGUGUAUCAGUGUAGUGGAUGCAGUGUGUUAGUGUAGUGAAUGCAGAGUGUGUGUCAGUAUAGUGAAUGCAGUGUGUUAGUGUAGUGAAUGCAGUGUGUGUUAGUGUAAUGAAUGCAGAGUGUGUGUUAGUGUAAUGAAUGGAGAGUGUGUUAGUGUGUAAUGAAUGCAGAGUGUGUGUUAGUGUAGUGAAUGCAGAGUGAGUGUUAGUGUAAUGAAUGCAGUGUGUGUUAGUGCAGUGAAUGCAGAGUGUGUGUUAGUGUAAUGCAUGCAGUGCAUGUGUUAAUGUGUAAUGAAUGCAGAGUGUGUUAGUGUACGUGGUGUAAUUGUGUGCUU